AGAGUUUGAUUAUGGCUCAGGAUGAACGCUAGCGAUAGGCUUAACACAUGCAAGUCGAGGGGCAGCACGGUGUAGUAAUACACUGGUGGCGACCGGCGUACGGGUGCGUAACACGUAUGCAACCUACCCGCUAGUGGGGGAUAACCCGGCGAAAGUCGGACUAAUACCCCAUAUUAUUCUUACCGGGCAUCCGGUAGGUCUGAAAGAUUUAUCGAUUGCGGAUGGGCAUGCGGAUGAUUAGCUAGUAGGUGGGGUAACGGCUCACCUAGGCGACGAUCAUUAGGGGUUCUGAGAGGAAGGUCCCCCCACACUGGAACUGAGACACGGUCCAGACUCCUACGGGAGGCAGCAGUGAGGAAUAUUGGUCAAUGGGCGCUAGCCUGAACCAGCCAAGUCGCGUGAAGGAUGACAAGAUCUAUGGUUUGUAAACUUCUUUUGCAGGGGAGUAAAGUGCGACACGUGUGUUGUAUUGCAAGUACCCUGCGAAUAAGCAUCGGCUAACUCCGUGCCAGCAGCCGC
rnacentral:rRNA from 1 species